rnacentral:rRNA from 1 species
AAUGGUUUCGACUAACUUAUUCGAGCGGCCGAUAACUGAUUAGCUAGUUGGUGGGGUAAAGGCCUACCAAGGCGACGAUCAGUAGCGGGUCUGAGAGGACGAUCCGCCACACUGGGACUGAGACACGGCCCAGACUCCUACGGGAGGCAGCAGUGGGGAAUUUUGGACAAUGGGGGCAACCCUGAUCCAGCCAUGCCGCGUGUAUGAAGAAGGCCUUCGGGUUGUAAAGUACUUUUGUUAGGGAAGAAAAGGGAAGUGCUAAUACCACUUUUUGCUGACGGUACCUAAAGAAUAAGCACCGGCUAACUACGUGCCAGCAGCCGCGGUAAUACGUAGGGUGCGAGCGUUAAUCGGAAUUACUGGGCGUAAAGCGAGCGCAGACGGUUAUUUAAGCAGGAUGUGAAAUCCCCGGGCUUAACCUGGGAACUGCGUUCUGAACUGGAUGGCUAGAGUGUGUCAGAGGGGGGUAGAAUUCCACGUGUAGCAGUGAAAUGCGUAGAGAUGUGGAGGGAAUACCGAUGGCGAAGGCUGCCCCCUGGGAUAAACACUGACGUUCAUGCUUCAAAAAGCGUGG